rnacentral:rRNA from 1 species
UAAUAGUAAAGUAAAAUAAAAGAAUCGAUGACAAUAUAGUUUAUAACAUCAAAGUAAUUUCAAAGGAGUUAUUAAGGAUAACUAGCAAAUUUAUAAAAAAGGAGGUAAACCAAAAGCCAAUAAGAAAGCAAAUUGGCGAUCCUAAGGGAAACCUUUAGUAUAAACACUUCCCAAAGUAAAACAUUUUAGUAGGGAAAGGAAAGGAAAUCAACCGAGACUCCGAAAGUAAUGGCGAGUGAAAUCGGAACAGCCUAAAAUAUUUAAUAAUUAAUAGAAAAUCCAUAGAAGGUAAGAGUCCUGUAUAUUAAUUAAAAAAUAACAAAAAAAGUACGAUGAGAGAAACCUUGUCGGAAUAUAGGGGAACCAUCCUCUAAGGCUAAGUAUUAUAAAUUUAGCGAUAGACAAAAGUACUGUAAAGGAAAGUUGAAAAAUUUAUUAAAAAUAUAAAAUGAAAAUUGAAUUAGUAACUCUAUAAGCAGUCGAAGUUUAUAAAAUUAUAAAUGACGGCGUACCUUUUGCAUAAUGGGUCAGCAAGUUAAUAGGAGUAGCAAGGUUAAAAGCCUUAGUGAAAGCGACUGGACUAACUAGCUAAACGUUCUUAAUAAAUAUUAUUUUAUGUAUUUAUUUUGGUUUAUUUUGUUUAGUAUUUAUAUUAUAUUAUUUCUGAUAAUAUACUUAUAAAUAGGAUAAUCCUUAAUAUUCUUUAUUUUAAAAAAUAUUAAGUAAAUUAUUCAUUAGGAAUAGUGGUGGAUAAGUUACUUCUAUUAGACCCGAAGCUAGGUGAUCUUCCCAAGACCAGAUUAUAAUGGAUCGAACGGGUGAAUGUUGCAUAAUUCUCCGAAGAGUUUUGGGAAGCGGUGAAAUGCCAAUCUGACCUAGUGAUAGCUGGUUUUCUACGAAACAUAUGUAAGUAUGAGAUCUAUAUUCUACUAAAAAUAUCUUUAUUUUAAUUUUUUAAUUUAAAUUUUAUUUUUAGUAAUAAAAAUUUAUGGUGGUACAGCACGGAAUUCCGAACAGUAGUAGUAUUUUAUAGAAAUAUUUUUUUUUAUAUUUUACUAUUUUUAGUUUAGGUUGAGGGGGUGUGAAAGCCUUACCAAUGGAAGAUAAACUCGAAAUGACAUAAAUUGAUGAUAGAUAUUCAGACUGCUCAUGAGAAGUUGAGUAGUCAAGACGGAAACAGCCGAGAACACGAAUACAAGGUCCCAAAUGAUUAUUAAGUGAAAUUAAGGUGAUAAUAAAUUGAAAGCAAUUGUAAAGUAAGCUCGGAAGUAGCUAUCUUUUAAAGAACGUAAUGUAACAACGCAGCAAUAUUUUAGACAAUUACACUAACAAUUCAACGGGUCUAAAUAAUCAACCGAUAUCGUGUUUAUUAUAAAUAACUAAAAAAUAAUUAUUUAUAGUAUAGGUAGUAGAACAUUCAGUUUAACUAUAAUUUAACAGUGUUUCAUUGUUUAUAAGUAACUGAAGAGAGAAUGCUGACAUGAGUAACGUAAAAAGAAGUUAUAAUACUUCUCGCCGAAUACGAAAGGGUUAUAAGGCCAUGUUAAACAGCCUUAUUUUAAUGCGGCCUCUAAGGACCAAAAUCCAAAGUUUUGGCUGAUGAGUAAUUAACUGAAAGUCCAAAUGCAAAUUAAUGGACCUGGAAAAUUAAGUUAAUAAAACUACCGUACCCUAAACCGACACAGGUUCGUAAGUAGAGAAUACUAAGGCGUAGAGCUAAAAGUUGUUAAGGAACUCGGCAAAUUCACCUCAUAAGUUUGACGACAAGAGGUACCCCUGAACAUUAAUAUACUAAAAAUAUUAAUAAAUAGGUGAGGUGGCACAUAAUCGGAGGCCCCGACUGUUUACUAAAAACACAAUUCAGAGCAAUAAUUAAGAUAAUAGUAUUCUGGAUGAAAUUUGCCCAAUGCCAUUAAUAUAAGAGAGGUAAUUAAAAGUUACUAAUCGAAAGUCUGGUUAAUAGCGGUCUUAACUAUGAGGAUCCAAAGGUAGCAAAAUCAAUUGGCCAUUAAAUGUGGUCCGGAAUCAGUAGUGUAACGAUGGUCUCACUGUCUCUACAACUUGCUCAGUGAAAUUGAAUUACCCGUGCAGAUGCGGGUUGCCUCCAGGUGGACGGGAAGACCCUAUGCAGCUUUACUGUAGUUAGUUAUCACGUUGAUCUACAACAACCUUGGUUAAUAGUGAUUAGGGAUGUCGAGGGACGAAAUGUGGAAUACCUCCUAGCUAAGGUUGGGUCAAUGUUUACCUUAUAAUAAUUUAAUAUUAGAGGGAGAGUUGACUAAUUGGCAGUUUGACUGGGGCGGUCGUCUUUGAUAUAGUAGCAAAGUACAUCCAAAGUUUAAAUUUAGAAUAUCUUUAAUAUUUAUUUAUUAUAGGAUAUACAGACAUACAAAACUAUAAGUUUAUAAAUAUAAUUUUUUAUGUUUAUAAAUAUUGUCUUUUUUUUAAUAUAAUAUUAAAAAAAGGAAGAAUUACGAUAAGGUAGAGCUAGAUAAUUGUAUGGGAAACAAUCUACUAGUGAGAAAAGUAGUACAAGGCGUAAUGGCGGAAAGCAUGCCUAACUGUAAGACCUAGAAGUCGCACAGAUACGUAAGUAGGGCAUAGUGACCCUUCGCUAUAAUAUGGAAUAGACGGGGAUCAAUCGAUAAAAGUUACGCUAGGGAUAACAGGCUGAUAGCUGGUGAGAGUACACAUUGUCCCGGCUGUUUGGCACCUCGAUGUCGACUCAACCUAUCCUCCGGGUGAAAAAGAUUGGAAGGGUUCGGCUGUUCGCCGAUUAAAAGGUUACGCGAGUUGGGUUUAAUACGACGUGAGUCAGUAUGGUCCCUAUCUUCUGGAGGGAAAAAUAGUAAAAAGGGGGAGACCUUCUAGUACGAAAGGAUCAAUAGGCUGUGUUUCUAUAGUGUACCAAUUGUUAUUCUUUUUUGUGCUUUUUUUAUAAAAAAAAGGAUAGAAAAAAAAGAUAAGCAUAGUUGGGUAGCCACAAACAUGAUAGAUAAGUGCUGAAUGAAUAUGAAGCAAGAAUCUAUCCCCUAGAUACUAUCAUAAAUAGCUAUUUUUGCUAUUUAGUUUUAAGAAAUAGAACAUUUCUAGUUAGGAUGAAAAUAUAAUUAUUUAAAAAUAUUUAGUUUAUCAUUACUAAUUUAU